rnacentral:lncRNA from 1 species
UGUCACGCCUCCGCCUUUGCGAGGCACGUGAGGCACCUAGUGCCCACAUGGGGGCCACAUGAGGGGGGAACACAGGGCUCCCCUGCCAGAUAUUGUCCGGUUCUGGGGCUUCACGCAAGCGUCCUUCACCCCUCCCCGGUUUUGUUUUCCACCCAAAACGCGUCUACAGGAUUUGGAGACACCCGCCUCAUAUGCCCAGGCUCUGGAACGAGUCUUUCCGAUGUGGGACUAUUGGGCCUCCCACCCUAAAUGUCACGCCCCGGAUCCGGACAUGAUUUUUUUUUAAUUUAUAUUAUGCGCCCCAAAUCCGGUUUAUGACACGGCCGUGCUAUUGUAGGUUGCUGCCCAUAAUAGCACGAAGCCCAUGAUAACAAUUUUACUUCAUGAAAUAAGACCAAAUCUGAUCAAAUUUAUUUAUUAAUCAUAAAGAAGCAAGUACAGAGCAUCUAAAUCAAAUAUUUGAGUUUGCAAUAUUACAACCCAAACUUAUUAACAUAGAUACUUCUAAGAAUCCCUGUAACUAUGCUUCAACUCCAAUUUUCAUUUACUCUUUUCCGCUCUUAAUCGCCUUAAUUAUCUGAAAUAAAAAAAAACAACAGGAGGGGUAUGAGCUUGCGGCUCAGUAAGUAACCAUGUACUAUCUUAUUAGAUCAAGCAUAAUCUUUCUCAUGCCAAUGCAUCAUUUGAAGAAUAUAACAGUUAUAG